GUGGAUAUAAUUUAAACAAAAUAUUAGAAUGUGAAGCUAAAAAUAGGAAAUCACCCCUCCUUAUCCACC